rnacentral:rRNA from 1 species
CUUGAACGCUGGCGGCAGGCCUAACACAUGCAAGUAGAGCGAGCGGCGGACGGGUGAGCAAUGUAUCGGGAUCUGCCCGGUCGAGGGCGUUAACUAAUGGCAACGAUUGCUAAUACCGCAUACUAUCGGAUGAACCCAUAUGGGAUUAGCUAGUAGGGGGGGUAAAGGCGCACCUAGGCCAAGAUCUCUAGCUGGUCUGAGAGGAGGAUCAGCCACACUGGCACUGUGACACGGCCCAACCUCCUACGGGAGGCAGCAGUGGGUAAUAUGUCACAUGGGGGGCAAGCCUGAUGCAGCCAUGCGGCGUGUAUGAAGGAGGCCUUCGGGUUGUAAAGUACGUGCAGCGGAGAGGCGUUACCCGCAGAAGAAGCACCGGCUAACUCGGUGCCAGCAGCCGCGGUAAUAC